AGGACGAACGCUGGCGGCGUGCUUAACACAUGCAAGUCGAGCGGUAAGGCCCUUUCGGGGGUACACGAGCGGCGAACGGGUGAGUAACACGUGAGCAAUCUGCCCUUCACUUCGGGAUAAGCCUCGGAAACGGGGUCUAAUACCGGAUAUGACCGCGCUACGCAUGUGGUGUGGUGGAAAGUUCUGGCGGUGGAGGAUGAGCUCGCGGCCUAUCAGCUUGUUGGUGGGGUAAUGGCCUACCAAGGCUUCGACGGGUAGCCGGCCUGAGAGGGUGACCGGCCACACUGGGACUGAGACACGGCCCAGACUCCUACGGGAGGCAGCAGUGGGGAAUAUUGGACAAUGGGCGAAAGCCUGAUCCAGCAACGCCGCGUGAGGGAUGACGGCCUUCGGGUUGUAAACCUCUUUCAGCGCCGACGAAGCGAGAGUGACGGUAGCGCAGAAGAAGCACCGGCAACACGUGCCAGCAGCCGC
rnacentral:rRNA from 1 species